rnacentral:snoRNA from 1 species
UGGAGGACUGAGAAGGUUAGUUAACCUUUAUGCUGUAUCUUACUGGUUAUAGCCUCCAAAAUUAUAAUAGUGCAAUAGCAACUCAUGUUCCCCUUCUGACAUGAGGGAAAGCAGUACUGCAUUUG